AGAGUUUGAUCAUGGCUCAGAUUGAACGCUGGCGGCGUGCCUAACACAUGCAAGUCGAGCGGUAACAGGUGUAGCAAUACAUGCUGACGAGCGGCGAACGGGUGAGUAAUGCUUCGGAAUCUACCCAGUAGUGGGGAAUAACCAACCGAAAGGUUGGCUAAUACCGCAUACGUCCUACGGGAGAAAGCGGGGGAUCGUAAGACCUCGCGCUAGCGGAUGAGCCGAAGCCGGAUUAGCUAGUUGGUAGGGUAACGGCCUACCAAGGCGACGAUCCGUAGCUGGUCUGAGAGGACGACCAGCCACACUGGGACUGAGACACGGCCCAGACUCCUACGGGAGGCAGCAGUGGGGAAUAUUGGACAAUGGGGGAAACCCUGAUCCAGCGACACCGCGUGUGUGAAGAAGGCCUGCGGGUUGUAAAGCACUUUUAGUGGGGAUGAAAAGUGCAGAGCUAACACCUCUGCAUCUUGACCUAACCCACAGAAAAAGCACCGGCUAACUCUGUGCCAGCAGCCGCGGUAAUACAGAGGGUGCGAGCGUUAAUCGGAAUUACUGGGCGUAAAGCGUGCGUAGACGGUAAUGUAAGUCGGGUGUGAAAGCCCCGGGCUCAACCUGGGAAUUGCAUUCGAGACUGCAUUGCUUGGGUGCGGAAGAGGGAAGCGGAAUUUCCGGUGUAGCGGUGAAAUGCGUAGAUAUCGGAAGGAACACCAGUGGCGAAAGCGGCUUCCUGGUCCGACACCGACGUUCAGGCACGAAAGCGUGGGGAGCAAACAGGAUUAGAUACCCCAGUAGUCC
rnacentral:rRNA from 1 species